rnacentral:tRNA from 1 species
GGGUGCAUAGCUCAGCGGGAGAGCACUACCUUCACACGGUAGGGGUCACAGGUUCAAUCCCUGUUGCACCCACCA